rnacentral:rRNA from 3 species
CUGGUGUUCGGGUUGUCAUGCCAAUGGCACUGCCCGGUAGCUAAAUGCGGAAGAGAUAAGUGCUGAAAGCAUCUAAGCACGAAACUUGCCCCGAGAUGAGUUCUCCCUGAGACUUUAGGUCUCCUGAAGGAACGUUGAAGACGACGACGUUGAUAGGCCGGGUGUGUAAGCGCAGCGAUGCGUUGAGCUAACCGGUACUAAUGAACCGUGAGGCUUAACCUUACAACGCCGAAG